UCCGGAAUUAUUGGGCGUAAAGAGCGUGUAGGCGGUCUGGUAAGUCGGCUGUGAAAGUCAAGGGCUCAACCCUUGAAAGCCGGCCGAUACUGUCGGACUAGAGUCCGGAAGAGGCGAGUGGAAUUCCCGGUGUAGCGGUGAAAUGCGCAGAUAUCGGGAGGAACACCAAUGGCGAAGGCAGCUCGCUGGGACGGUACUGACGCUGAGGCGCGAAAGCGUGGGGAGCAAACAGG
rnacentral:rRNA from 1 species